ACCUCUAUUGCGACAUCUAGAACCCCCACUAUCCAUUUACCUUGAAUUGGUUUGUUACUAUAUGGCUGUGACCAAAUAUCUUCUUUCAGGGGAAAAAAAGAAAUUAAUAAAGAAAGUAAGGAGAUAACUUUAAUUCAUUUGAUCAGAUGCUUAUUAUGAUUUGUUUUGAUCCAGGACAAACUUAAGGGUUAUGGGAAUAUACAAUAUACUCCAUCGAGGGACAGACAAUGGCACUUGUACA
rnacentral:misc_RNA from 1 species